rnacentral:rRNA from 1 species
GACGGAGGAUGCAAGCGUUAUCCGGAAUGAUUGGGCGUAAAGCGUCCGCAGGUGGCAGUUCAAGUCUGCUGUCAAAGACCGGGGCUUAACUUCCGGAAAGGCAGUGGGAAACUGAACGAGCUAGAGUAUGGUAGGGGCAGAGGGAAUUCCUGGUGUAGGCGGUCGAAAUGCGUAGAGAAUCAGGAAGAACAUCGGUGGCGGAAGGGCGCUCGUGCUGGACCUAACUGACACUCAGGGACGAAAGCUAGGGGAGCGAAUGGG